rnacentral:lncRNA from 1 species
CCACCGGUUUUGGAUGAAAAAAAUGCUAGAAUAUUUAGAAACAAGCCUUCUCCUCCAGCCGUUUAUGUUCUGAAAACCAAGUCUGAGCUGUUAGUAGAUCAAGCUGUCGUUUUGCUAACACCUAUUAGAGAAAAUAGGAAAUUAUGAAGAAUUUCCAUGGGCAAAUCAUUCACGUAUACAGAUAAAAAAUAUAUACAUUAUAUAUCGAU